AGUGAACGCUGGCGGUAGGCCUAACACAUGCAAGUCGAACGGCAGCACAGUAAGAGCUUGCUCUUACGGGUGGCGAGUGGCGGACGGGUGAGGAAUACAUCGGAAUCUACUUUUUCGUGGGGGAUAACGUAGGGAAACUUACGCUAAUACCGCAUACGACCUACGGGUGAAAGCAGGGGAUCUUCGGACCUUGCGCGAUUGAAUGAGCCGAUGUCGGAUUAGCUAGUUGGCGGGGUAAAGGCCCACCAAGGCGACGAUCCGUAGCUGGUCUGAGAGGAUGAUCAGCCACACUGGAGCUGAGACACGGUCCAGAACCCUACGGGAGGCAGCAGUGGGGAAUAUUGGACAAUGGGCGCAAGCCUGAUCCAGCCAUACCGCGUGGGUGAAGAAGGCCUUCGGGUGGUAAAGCCCUUUUGGUGGGAAAGAAAAGCAGCAGGUUAAUACCCCGCUGUUCGGACGGUACCCAAAGAAUAAGCACCGGCUAACAUCGU
rnacentral:rRNA from 1 species